CCCAGACUCCUACGGGAGGCAGCAGUGGGGAAUAUUGCACAAUGGGGGGAACCCUGAUGCAGCGACGCCGCGUGGGUGAAGAAGUCAUUCGUGACGUAAAGCCCUAUCAGCAGGGAAGACAAAAGGACGGUACCUGCAGAAGAAGCCACGGCUAACUACGUGCCAGCAGCCGCGGUAAUACGUAGGUGGCGAGCGUUGUCCGGAAUUACUGGGUGUAAAGGGAGCGUAGGCGGGAUAUUAAGUUGAAUGUAUAAACUAUCAGCUCAACUGAUAGAAGCGUUCAAAACUGAUAUUCUUGAGUGAAGUAGAGGCAGGCGGAAUUCCUAGUGUAGCGGUGAAAUGCGUAGAUAUUAGGAGGAACACCAGUGGCGAAGGCGGCCUGCUGGGCUUUAACUGACGCUGAGGCUCGAAAGCGUGGGUAGCAAACAGGAUUAGAUACCCGAGUA
rnacentral:rRNA from 1 species